rnacentral:rRNA from 1 species
UCUGUGAUGCCCCAAGAUGUCCGGGGCCGCACGCGCGCCACAAUGACGCCCGCAACGAGCGCGACAGCCCGGUCGGAGAGGACCGGGGAACCAUGUGAAAGCGCGUCGUGGCGGGGACAGGGGAUUGCAAUUGUUCCCCUCGAACGAGGAAUUCCAAGUAACGGCGAGUCACCAGCUCGCCCUGAUUACGUCCCUGCCCUUUGUACACACCGCCCGUCGUUACUGCUAAUAGAGCACAGAGGUGAGGCCGUUGGACCGGACGCCCAGACCGGGAACCGGAAAGGCGGUCGAACCCUUUCGCUUAGAAGGAGUACAAGUCGUAACAAGGUUAUC